rnacentral:lncRNA from 1 species
CAGGAAGACCUCGCUGCCUUCCCUCCUCCCUUUGAUGGUGUGCUCGUCGUUGAUCAGACAGUCUAUCUCCUCAUACUUCAGCCCCGGGGCUUUGUUGAAGCCUCCCACGACGGGAGGAGCCUUCUGCUGCUCUUGGGGCGAUGCUUCCUCGCUCUGCUUGCCCACAUCCCGUGCGGGGCCGUUGCUGGCGGCGGCCGCGCGGCGCUCGGGGCCAGCCGGGCUGCGGGGGAACGGGCCGGAGCCAUCCGAGGAGCAUCUGUUCCACAGCAGCACCGUCACCAGCGUGAAGAGAGCGCAGAUGAUGAUCAGAGUCUUGUAGUUGACCCGAGCUGCCAAGCAACGCAUAUUCACACCAUACCUGCGGGCCGGGCCCUGGCUGCCGGCG